rnacentral:lncRNA from 1 species
AUGAGCCAUGAAAAGUUGAUAUGGGAAAAAAGAGACACAGGAGAAGGACACAAAACUGGAUGGUCUGAUGCCUCAGAAGUGCCAACAAUCCACUCCUAUCACUGGAGUCAGGGGAGUCUGAAAGAGCUUUUGCUGUUUACCUCAAGCUACUUUAUUGGAUGACCUAAUUAGAACUUUGGACUUUAAGAAUUCAAAAACUUCAUCCAAAC